AUUACCGCGGCUGCUGGCACGUAGUUGGCCGGUCCUUCUUCUCUCACUACCGUCACUUGCGCUUCGUCGUGAGCGAAAGAGGUUUACAACCCGAAGGCCGUCAUCCCUCACGCGGCGUCGCUGCAUCAGGCUUGCGCCCAUUGUGCAAUAUUCCCCACUGCUGCCUCCCGUAGG
rnacentral:rRNA from 1 species